rnacentral:rRNA from 1 species
UACGUAGGGUGCGAGCGUUUAAUCGGAAUUACUGGGCGUAAAGCGUGCGUAGGUGGUGAGUUAAGUCUGUCGUGAAAAGCCCCGGGCUCAACCUGGGGAAUGGCGAUGGAUACUGGCUCGCUAGAGUGCGGUAGAGGAGAGUGGAAUUCCCCGGUGUAGCAGUGAAAAUGCGUAGAGAUCGGGAGGAACAUCAGUUGCGAAGGCGGCUCUCUGGACCCAGCACUGACACUGAGGCACGAAAAGCGUGGGGGAGCAAACAGG